GACGAACGCUGGCGGCGUGCCUAAUACAUGCAAGUCGAACGCACUCUCGUUUAGAUUGAAGGAGCUUGCUCCUGAUUGAUAAACAUUUGAGUGAGUGGCGGACGGGUGAGUAACACGUGGGUAACCUGCCCUAAAGUGGGGGAUAACAUUUGGAAACAGAUGCUAAUACCGCAUAAAACCUAAACACCGCAUGGUGUAGGGUUGAAAGAUGGUUUCGGCUAUCACUUUAGGAUGGACCCGCGGUGCAUUAGUUAGUUGGUGAGGUAAAGGCUCACCAAGACCGUGAUGCAUAGCCGACCUGAGAGGGUAAUCGGCCACACUGGGACUGAGACACGGCCCAGACUCCUACGGGAGGCAGCAGUAGGGAAUCUUCCACAAUGGACGAAAGUCUGAUGGAGCAACGCCGCGUGAGUGAAGAAGGUUUUCGGAUCGUAAAACUCUGUUGUUGGAGAAGAAUGUAUCUGAUAGUAACUGAUCAGGUAGUGACGGUAUCCAACCAGAAAG
rnacentral:rRNA from 1 species